CCUUGUGGAUAAAGGGAAGCAGUAGAUCAGCUAUCUUGACUUUAGUAAGUCUUUUGAUGUUGUCUCAUAGGGAUAUAUAGCUUAGGUGAGCCUGCUAUAUGGUGGAUGCACAACUGGUUGGAAAACAAUAUUCUGUACAUCGAGAAUAGUUAUCGGUGGUUCACAGUCAAGCAGGAAGGGCAUUUCAAGUGGUGUUUCGCAGGGAUCUCUCCAGAGUCCAGUUCUAUUGAAUAGCUUCAUAAGUGAUUUGCAUAAUGGCAUAGAGAAUACAUUUACAAGCUUUGUGGAUGAUACCAAGCUGGAAGUGGUUGCAAGGUCAGGAUUAGAAAUCAAAAUGAUCUUAAUAAACUGAAAAAAAUGGUCUGAAGUAAAAAUAAAAUCAUUAAGAACAAAUGCAAAGAACUCCACCUACAAAACAGGAAAUGAUUUGUCUAGGAAAGAGUAUUGCAGAGGGGGACCUGGCUGUCAUAAUGAACCACAAAUGAAAUAUGAGUCGACAGUGUAACACCCUUGCAAAAAAGGCAAAUGUUCUGGGACAUUUUGGCAGGUCUCAAGAAAUCAGUCUUCUGCUCUACUCCAUGCUGAUAAAGCCUCAGCUGGAAUAAUGUGUCCAGUGCUGGGCACCGCACUUCAGGAAAAAUAUGAAUGGGAGAAAAUCCAAAGGAGAGCAACAAAAAUGAAGAAAGAUCUAGAAAAUAUGGCCUAUGAGGGGAGAUGGAAAGAAUUUGGAUUGUUUAGUCUGGAGCUGAGAAGAUGAAGGGGCAGGGCAUGAAAAUAGACCUCAAAUACAGAAAAAGAGAAGGGUGAUCAAUUGUUCUCUUUAACCACCGACAGCAGGCCAAGGAGCAGCGGGCUCAAAUUGCAGCAAUGGAGGUUUAGGUGGGUCAUUAGGGAAAAACUUCCUCUUAAGAUGGUUAAGCACUGGAAUAAAUUAACUCGGGAGGGUGUGGAACAUUCUUCACUGGAGAUGUGUAAGAGCAGGUUAGACAAACACCUGUCAAGAAUGGUCUAGAUAAUACUUAGUCCUGCAUCAGUCCAAGAAACUGGACUACCUAACAUAUUGAGGUCCCUUCCAGUCCUAUAUCCCUGUGCUUUCUAGUGGCCUAGGUGUGCAUGUGGUAGAAGGAGUCUUCCUCCUUGAGUACUGAGUUCCAGUCUGUUUUCACUGAUAAAAGGAAGAAUUCACUUUUUCAAAGCCUAAUCCUGCAAGGUACUGAGCAUUCUUUGCUCCCACUGAAGUCUAUGGGAACUGAGGAUGGUCAAAACCUCCUGAGGAGUUCUUGAGUAGCCAAAUAGUUGAACUCAUGGUCUAAGGGCUUAGGCUGGUGGCAGAAUUCUCCUUGAAUUAGAAAGGGAACCCAAAUACUAUUGAGAUUGAGAGUGCCUUCUCUAACACUGCAGAAGGCUGUAUUGCCAGCCAAUGUCCUUGACUUGAUUUUGAAGCUGAGCAAUUUCAUCAAGCUGGGUAAGAACCAUUCCUCUUCAGAUGCAUGAAAGACAGGAGUCCAACCUUCUCCCCAGGACAGGGAACUUAGCUCAUUUAAGCAUCAUGACUGGUCACUGGGGCAGCUCCUGCUCUGACUCUGCCAUCCUGAGUUGAGAAGAAGGAAGAUUGUAGCUCUAGUCUCGAAGGCCUUUACUGAGAUGCCCUUAACACCCUCACUGCAGUAUGUGUCAAGAUGGGAUUGCUCUUCCAACCAACCUGCAGAGAGGAGCAUUUCCCCAUUAUCUAAGUACCUAUUUUAUGAGCAGCCAAACUUAUUAACACCAUUGGAUGUGACUGUGCCAGUAGAGAGGGGGCCUGAAUAGUCUAGCAUGAGGGCAUAAAUCAGGACCUUUAACGAGCAUCUGCACAUUUAAAGUUUUUCCUACAUGGCUUUUGUUUUUCUUGCACACUUCUCGCUUUGACUGGUCUAUAAAUGGGUUUUUCUCCUCCCUGUCUUCAGCCAAUAAGACCUCCCCAACAUCUGGAGAGGGGAAUCGCCCUGGUGGAAUCAUUCAUGUGUAUGGUGAUGACAACAGUGACAAAUCUGCCAGCAGUUUCAUCCCCUACUGCUCCAUGGCUCAGGCACAGCUCUGUUUUCAUGGCCACCGUGAUGCAGUCAAGUUCUUUGUCUCUGUUCCUGGUAAUGUUCUUGCAACUCUGAAUGGGAGUGUGUUGGACAGCCCCUCAGAGAACCCCAGCACAACAGCCCCUGAGACUGAGGGGCAGAAGCUGAAAAAUGUCCUGGUGCUGAGUGGAGGAGAAGGGUACAUCGAUUUCCGGAUUGGGGAUGGAGAAGAUGAUGAGACAGAGGAGAAUGCAGAAGAUACCCCCCAAGUAAAACCGGUGCUUUCCAAGGCGGAGAGGAGCCAUAUUAUUGUGUGGCAAGUAUCAUAUAUCCCUGAGUGAGAAUCUCUCCUUUCCAGCCAACAUAUCUCUCCCAUCUCCCACCUGAAUGCCAAGAUGUACAUACAGAACUCCUGCAUUACACCUACUGCUGGAAAUGGAACCCCAGACAAUUGCAACAGCUCCUGCAUUGGAUGGUGACCCCCCCCUCCCAUUCUAACCUCUGAACUUGCAGCUUUCAUAAUUGGGCCUGUGCACGUUGAGUGGUUGGAUUACUAUUCUCCUGCAGCUGGUAUCUACAAAGGGGAAAAAAAGGCAGGGAAUCUACAGGGUGAAGCCUAGAGUUAGGAAUUGUCCAAACACCUCUUGCCAAGAAGUGAGAAUCAAGCCUUUCUUGGAAGGGUUGGCCCAGGUUGUCAGGAAGGUUGCCUCAUUCUCACCUGCAUGAGAAACAAUGCAUUAACCUCGUAUCUUCCAGGGAAACGAGGCUAAUGACUCGUGACAGCCCAAAGAAAAUCUUACAUGUAGUUCACCAGAUGGAAAUCUCAUCCCAGCCUGUCUGCACAGAUUGUCCUCAAGCACCAAGUCUUAUCUCAGGAUCUGAGCACAGGCAGCACCAGGUUUAAACCAUACCUCUGCAGAGAAGGGAACAAAGGUUUCAGGAACCACUUCAGCUAUUUGGCCAUAGAGGGCCCACCAGUCUCAUGCUGGGGUAGAGUGCAGAACACAUGCUAUAUAUGGGAAAUCUCCCUCCUCUGCUUCUAAUUGUUGAUCAGUUGGUAACAUGAAGUAGUGCUCAGUGAGUGUGACAUCACGGAGGACUUUUUGGUAGAAUCAGAGGCAAAAAAGGUGUUUGAUGUCACGACAGUGUGCGCUUGGACAUGACAGUUUGCUGGGAUAUGGGUUGGUUAGCCGAAGGAAGAGCCAGCGCUACUUUGUCCACAUGGUAUUUUUGAAAUGAGGGGUAAAAAAUACUUGGUUUCAUCAUUUUUAAAAGCCUUAAAAAAUUUCAAGAGACAAGCUGUUUAGUGAUAGUUGGUUUUAAAGUGUAUCUGGUGAAGGCAAGUUCAACAUCCUUCCAUGUUGAUGUGAUAAGGCUUCUGUGUUAACCUAGGGGUUUUAAUGACUCAUGAAGAUGCAUUCUCUUCCUAGUGCUGAUUUUCUUCAGGGAGAAUGCUCUGCUCUCAAAGCAGAACAGUGCUGGAGAAAAGAAAAGGCAGGAUACUGAUUUUUGUCAUUCUUUCUCCCAGUACAUAACAGUAACCCAGUGCAAAUACAGGUUCAGGCUUGCAUAUCCCAAACUAUGGCACCCAGACAGGAGGAUGCUUUGCUAUGGCAAGAAUUGUGUUUCAUGGCUGCUCCUGCAGUUAAAUAAGUCUGUAAAAAGCUGGAGAGAGAUUCCAGGAGCUUGUAGCUCCAUGCAGUGUGCAUAUCUCAAGUUUUGUUACCUCACUCCUGCUACUGACCAACUGGUUAAAAGCCCUGAUGCCACAGUUUGCCUCCUGACUCCUCACUGUUCUCAGUUCUUGGCCUUUUAAAUCCUUGAGCAUGUGUGUAUUGCCUCACUUGCUGCAUUUCUGGCUCAGUCAGUCUUUGUAUUCUAGGAUCCCAGAGGACCUAGUGUGUCCCUAAAAACAAGUAGCCCCGUGGCACCUUAGAAACCCACAAAAAUAUAUAAUAUGAGCUUUCGUGGGCAAAACCCACUUCUUCAGAUGAGAUAUCUUCAGACAUAAGUGGGUUUUGCUCACGAAAACUCAUUACUGUAUAUUUUCGUGAGUUUAAGGUUCCACAGGGCUAUUUGUUGUUUUUAAAGAUACAGGCUAACACAGCUACCCCGCUGACACUAGUGUAUCCCUGUCAGUCUGCAGAACUUAUCCCCCCUUUUACUGUAAUAUCUGAGUGCCUCACAAUGUGUUUACCACCUGUUAGGGAGGGAAAGGUUUUGCAAGUAGGGACCUACAAAACAGAAAGAUUAACUAGCCCAGGGUCACACAGGUCCUUGGCAGAGCAGGUUUCCUAGCUAGUGUCAGCUUCCCUGGUGGACACUGCAGGGCUAUGUCUAGACUGGCAUGAUUUUACAGAAAUACUUUUAACUGAAAAGUUUUUCCGUUAAAAGUAUUUCCGCAAAAGCACGUCUAGAUUGGCAAGGAUGCUUUUGCGCAAAAGCAUCCGUGCCGAUCUAGAUGCGCUUUUGUGCAAGAAAGCUCCAAUGGCCAUUUUAGCCAUUGGGUUUUCUUGAGCAAAAAAUGAAGGUGCCUGUCUACACUGGCCCUCUUGCGCAAGUAUUCUUGCGCAAGAGGGCUUAUCCCUGAGCGGGAGCGUCAAAGUAUUUGCGCAAGAAGCACUGAUUUUGUACAUUACAAAGUCAGUGCUCUUGCGCAAAUUCAAGCGGCCAGUUUAGACAGCUGGCAAGUUUUUGCGCAAAAGCAGCUGCUUUUGCGCAAAAUCUUGCCAGUCUAGACGCACCCCCUGGUGUAAGCUAAAAAGGAUCCUAGUUCCUGUUUGAGGAGGACUUGGAUAGUGCAGGUACAACUGAGAGCAAUACCAGCCAUACAUUAGAGCGCUGGAAAGGCAACAACAGUUUCCAGAGAACAGAGCCUAGUUCAGGGGGGACAGAGACAUUGUAAUACAACACUAAUGAUAGGCAAAGGCACUCGCACUGCUCUUUGCAGGCAGAGGUCAAAUCAAAUGCUUCAGUUGUGUACCUGUAUACAGGGAUCCCCAAGAGGCCAGUCUGACCAUGUGACAUUUAUGAAUGAGUUAGGCUUUCAUUCUGCUAUUGACAUUUUUCCAGAAAUGCUUUUUGAUUGGAUAAAUCACUUAGGGUUUUAGACAGCAUAUAAUUUGCAAAUUUUGUUAAUUUGUAUCAGUUACAUUUCACUAUUUGAGAUGAUUUUAAAAAAAUGUAAUUGACAUCAGUUUCCUGAAAACACCACAAUUAUGAAACAUGACAUGAGCGUUUUACCUGUUACAGAACAUAAAUGGUAUCUGUUUUACCAAAGUGACAAUACUUGGUCCUCUGUCUCCCACUGAAAUUUCAUGACUGCUUAAGAAAAUAAGAUAUUCUCAGUGGUUCAUUUGCAGUUUGAGGCAGAUUUUCUUUUGAGAAAAGCACAUUUUCAAAAAGAGGCCAUUGACAGUCAAGUGAAGAGCCACUGCUCUAAUGUUCUAUCAUCCUCAUUCUGUGGCUACGGAGCAGCAAAGUGAAAGCUGAUUGGCUUAAACACCCCCCAUCAUAUUUCCACUGUGAUGUAUGUAAAGUACCUUGUAUGUUAUAAAAGGAUUUUUAAAAAGUGUCUUAUGGCCUGUAAACUCCGCUGUUUGGUCUGAAGAUGGCAUUCUGUAAAGAGACUGCUGUAUGAAUACUUUCCCACGCUUUGUCCCUUAUGCUAUCAAACAAAUGAACCAUAUCUGUUCUGUAUGUAAUAAAUGUGUUAACAUCA